rnacentral:rRNA from 1 species
UACGGAGGGGGUUAGCGUUGUUCGGAAUGACUGGGCGUAAAGCGCGCGUAGGCGGAUCGGAAAGUCGGGGGUGAAAUCCCAGGGCUCAACCCUGGAACUGCCUUCGAUACUGGCGAUCUUCGAGUCCGGGAGAGGUGAGUGGAACUCCGAGUGUAGAGGUGAAAUUCGUAGAUAUUCGGAAGAACACCAGUGGCGAAGGCGGCUCACUGGCCCGGUACUGACGCUGAGGUGCGAAAGCGUGGGGAGCAAACAGG